rnacentral:rRNA from 1 species
GACAGAGGUGCCAAGCGUUAGGCGGAAUCACUGGGCUUAAAGCGUGUGUAGGCGGAAUGGUAAGUACCUUGUGAAAUCCCACGGCUCAACCGUGGAACUGCUUGGUAUACUGCUUUUCUUGAGCCACUUAGGGGCUGUCGGAACAAACGGUGGAGCGGUGAAAUGCGUAGAGAUCGGAAAGAACACCAACGGCGAAAGCACUCUGCUGGGCCGACACUGACACUGAGAGACGAAAGCUAGGGGGAGCGAAAUGGG